AUGGGCUGGGGAGGGCUGGGCUGGGACAGGGACUGCUGCGUUGCCUGCCAGCUGCCCUGCCCUUUCUCUUGUCCCUGCAGGCUCCAGUUCAGCUUGUGCCUUCCAGGCGUGAUCAUCCCAGGCUGCAGGAGAGCAGCAAAUGGCCACAGCACAUCGGUGUCAGGAGCCCGUGAGCUUUGCGGAGGUGGCCGUGUAUUUCAGCAGGGAGGAGUGGGCGCUGCUGGACCCUGCGCAGCGAGCGCUCUACCGGGACGUGAUGCUGGAGACGUACCAGUGCGUGGCCUGGCUGGGUGAGGGCUUUGCUGCCUUUCCUCCUCGUUAGCUCUGCUUUGGUUGUGCUGAAUGAGCCUCUGCAUGACGGGCAUUGAAUAACUGCCAUGCAGUUACAUAUUGACUAACACCACUGUGACAGCAACAAAGGAAACACAGAGUAGCAUGAGUUUCAGGAGGCCUUCUUGUGCUCAGCACUGUGAUAAAAGCCCCAGAGUCAGUGCUGGCUCGUAAGCAGCAGCAGGAAGGGGGAUGAUCAGUUUCCUACAAACAGCCUUGUGUUGUUGCAUUGCCUGAUGCCACCAGCUCCAACUAAGAGAUGACUCGCUGGUUACUCCUUUAGAAUUUAGGAUUUUCCAUUCAAAUGCCAUAAAUAUUUUGAUGCCAUGCUCACUGAUAUAUUGUAAGCAAGUAAGCAUGCUGUUGUAAUGUUAAUUUUAAAGCAAAUAUCCCUUCAUACUGUCUAGAGAUGUAAAAGCUUUCUUUGCUCCAAAGGGAGCUGUGGCCCAGUGUCAUUCAGGCCCAAAUGGUGCUUUCUCCUGGGGAGGGAAACACAGUGGAGAUGUUGAACAGUCACUGUGCCGCAAUGAUGGAAAUGCUCUCAUCUCCCCUGUUUCUGUCAUUGAAGCUCCUCUUCCAGCCCCAAACCCGGGCUGAUCUCCCUGCUAGAAGGAGGGGAAGACCCCUGGAUCCCAGAUGUGCGUAGCCCUGAGGCCGUGCCAGGAGACCUGAGCCCAGGUGAGUUGCUGGAGGGAGGGAAGGAGGAGGCUGGGGCUGGAAGAGUCCUCUCUGUCUGUGUUUUAUUUUGGGCACCGUGUACAAUUUCUGGAUUUCCUCUUUCCUCCAGCAGGAAACUGGGAUUACAGAUAUACUGGAGGAUGUGCAGGAAAGUGGUGUGGGCCGAAAGGCGGUGGGGUAGUGCCUGUGUGGGAGAAAUCAGAAGGGAUGUCGCAGGAGGCCUGGAGCAAGGUCAGGGUGAGCACAUCAAGAAGGCACUGGAGAGCAUCUGGA
rnacentral:lncRNA from 7 species